UACGUAGGUGGCAAGCGUUGUCCGGAAUUAUUGGGCGUAAAGCGCGCGCAGGUGGUUCCUUAAGUCUGAUGUGAAAGCCCACGGCUCAACCGUGGAGGGUCAUUGGAAACUGGGGAACUUGAGUGCAGAAGAGGAAAGUGGAAUUCCAAGUGUAGCGGUGAAAUGCGUAGAGAUUUGGAGGAACACCAGUGGCGAAGGCGACUUUCUGGAUCUGUAACUGACACUGAGGCGCGAAAGCGUGGGGAGCAAACAGG
rnacentral:rRNA from 1 species